CAGGUUCUUGUUGAUGUUCAUAUCUCUCAGGAAGCUGCAGAAACUGCAUCUUGGUUACAGAUUUUAAUUUUACAUUUUAAGAUAGGGUCUUAUCAAACUU